CAUACGCUGGCCGGCGUGCCUAAUACUUGCAAGUCGAGCGGACAGAUGGGAGCUUGCUCCCUGAUGUUAGCGGCGGACGGGUGAGUAACACGUGGGUAACCUGCCUGUAAGACUGGGAUAACUCCGGGAAACCGGGGCUAAUACCGGAUGGUUGUUUGAACCGCAUGGUUCAGACAUAAAAGGUGGCUUCGGCUACCACUUACAGAUGGACCCGCGGCGCAUUAGCUAGUUGGUGAGGUAACGGCUCACCAAGGCAACGAUGCGUAGCCGACCUGAGAGGGUGAUCGGCCACACUGGGACUGAGACACGGCCCAGACUCCUACGGGAGGCAGCAGUAGGGAAUCUUCCGCAAUGGACGAAAGUCUGACGGAGCAACGCCGCGUGAGUGAUGAAGGUUUUCGGAUCGUAAAGCUCUGUUGUUAGGGAAGAACAAGUGCCGUUCAAAUAGGGCGGCACCUUGACGGUACCUAACCAGAAAGCCACGGCUAACUACGUGCCAGCAGCCGCGGUAAUACGUAGGUGGCAAGCGUUGUCCGGAAUUAUUGGGCGUAAAGGGCUCG
rnacentral:rRNA from 1 species